UCUCUUAUAGUGUAGCGGUUAGCACGUGGGAUUUUGACACGGCUCUUGUGGCUCCAUUUCAAUAUUCCCGAGUCCCCGGUUCGAACCCGGGUAAGAGAU